UAUUCAGAAACCUGGCACGCAAUAUGCUUUGUUCGAUCCAACAAUUCAUCGGGCGUAACCCUCAACGGCGAGGGGCGCGCUCCCCGAGCGAUUCGGGAAUCGGACAAAGGCGUCCUGCUGGCAACGGCGGGACGCC
rnacentral:sRNA from 1 species